rnacentral:rRNA from 1 species
UACGGGGGGGGGCAAGCGUUGUUCGGAAUUACUGGGCGUAAAGGGCUCGUAGGCGGCCAACUAAGUCAGACGUGAAAUCCCUCGGCUUAACCGGGGAACUGCGUCUGAUACUGGAUGGCUUGAGUUUGGGAGAGGGAUGCGGAAUUCCAGGUGUAGCGGUGAAAUGCGUAGAUAUCGGGAGGAACACCUGUGGCGAAAGCGGCUCACUGGACCAUUACUGACGCUGAUGCUCGAAAGCUAGGGGAGCAAACAGG